rnacentral:rRNA from 1 species
ACUGUGGUAAUUCUAGAGCUAAUACAUGCACCCAAGCCCCGACUCGGGGGGCAACUCUCGAGAAAGGGCGCUUUUAUUAGAUCAAAACCAGUCGAGAGCUUCGGCUCUCGUUAAGUUUGGUGACUCUGAUAACUUCACGCUGAUCGCACGGUCUUCGCACCGGCGACGAUUCUUUCAAAUGUCUGCCUUAUCAACUGUCGAUGGUAGGUUAUGCGCCUACCAUGGUUGCAACGGGUAACGGGGAAUCGGGGUUCGAUUCCGGAGAGGGAGCCUGAGAAACGGCUACCACAUCCAAGGAAGGCAGCAGGCGCGCAAAUUACCCACUCCCGGCACGGGGAGGUAGUGACGAAAAAUAACGAUACGGGACUCUUCCGAGGCCCCGUGAUUGGAAUGAGUACACUUUAAAUCCUUUAACGAGGACCCAUUGGAGGGCAAGUCUGGUGCCAGCAGCCGCGGUAACUCCAGCUCCAAUAGCGUAUAUUAAAGUUGUUGCGGUUAAAAAGCUCGUAGUCGGAGUUCUGUCUUCGGCCGAGGGGGGAUUCUGCCUACACGGUAUGAGUCUCGUUCCCUUUGGGUGUGCGGUGUCAAAGCCGUGCACUCUUAACGGUCGGACAAGUCCGUCGGAGUGUGUUUAUUGUUGGAAGGGCAACCGACCAAUGAGGCCACCGUAAUCGUUCGGGGUGCCUUUAAUCGGGUGUCUCGGGCGGCCGACAUAGUUUACUUUGAACAAAUUAGAGUGCUCAAAGCAGGUGACUACCGCCUGAAUAGUACAGCAUGGAAUGAUGAAAGAGGACCUCGGUCUGAUUUUGCUGGUCUUUAACGGUCGGGCUUCGGCCCGGCCUAUGCAGACCCGAGGUAAUGGUCAAUAGAGACGGACGGGGGCAUCCGUACUGCGGCGACAGAGGUGAAAUUCUUGGACCGCCGCAAGACGAACGACAGCGAAGGCAUUUGCCAAGAAUGUUUUCCUUGAUCAAGAACGAAAGUUAGAGGUUCGAAGGCGAUCAGAUACCGCCCUAGUUCUAACCAUAAACGAUGCCAACUAGCGAUCCGCCGGUGUUACUCCCAUGACUCGGCGGGCAGCUUCCGGGAAACCAAAGUCUUUGGGUUCCGGGGGAAGUAUGGUUGCAAAGCUGAAACUUAAAGGAAUUGACGGAAGGGCACCACCAGGAGUGGAGCCUGCGGCUUAAUUUGACUCAACACGGGAAACCUCACCAGGCCCGGACACUGGAAGGAUUGACAGAUUGAGAGCUCUUUCUUGAUUCGGUGGGUGGUGGUGCAUGGCCGUUCUUAGUUGGUGGAGCGAUUUGUCUGGUUAAUUCCGAUAACGAACGAGACUCUAGCCUGCUAAAUAGGUGCCGGGUUUUUACAUCUCCUCGCAAGGGGAGAGUGGAGUGUGUGGUUGUCGGGAUCCUGGGCUGUGGUGGUCGUUUAGGCUGCGGGGGGCAACUCUCGUGGUCUGGGCGGCUGUCAUAGUUCACCCGGUGUACGCACACUUC